GACGUAGGGCGCGAGCGUUGUCCGGAAUCAUUGGGCGUAAAGAGCGCGUAGGCGGCCAGAUAAGUCCGGUGUGAAAGUCACAGGCUCAACCUGUGAAUGCCGCUGGAAACUGUCUGGCUAGAGUCCGGAAGGGGCGAGUGGAAUUCCUGGUGUAGCGGUGAAAUGCGCAGAUAUCAGGAGGAACACCAAUGGCGAAGGCAGCUCGCUGGAACGGUACUGACGCUGUGGCGCGAAAGCGUGGGGAGCAAACAGG
rnacentral:rRNA from 1 species